rnacentral:misc_RNA from 1 species
UCGUACAACGGAGGUGUGAGGGCUGUCGCUGACCUUCAAAGGUUGUGCACGCCCAAGCACUCUCUCACAUCCAUUUCACCCCAUUUGUGCAUCACCACGUGGGCCCCCUCUUUGCGGAGAGGGCUUGCGUUUUCACAUAAAACUUGAUACGGUGUAGAAUGUCUUUUUUUUUGCUUGCGGUCACACGCAAUCAAUA